rnacentral:lncRNA from 1 species
CGCUCCUUCUACAAUAUGCAUCGGAUUAAACUUCCGUAUUACGACUGGACAUGGAUGUGUGGUUGUACAACCCACAGCCAAACGGACGAUUAAAAUAUAAUAUCUACCAGCAUAUCAAAAAGAAAAAUAACAGAAAUACCGAAAUCCGAGGAAAAAUCAAUACGGAAAAUCCCUAAUCAAAUGGCAAAAUCAAAAGCUCAAAGACACCAAACG